UGUAUUGUUGUUAUCAGUGUGGUCCUCAAUUCAGUGUUUCGUCCAACCACUAAUUUCCCUCUUCUUCUCAAUGUGUCAUCGAUAUAAGUGAAAUCCGGUUGUAUGGUAUACCGAAAUUCCUGCGCAUUAGACCCUUGUAUCCCGCCUGGAUAACGCAUCUGCCACUAGGAGUCUGCACUCUUUUUUCUAGCAGCAAACGUUAAGGACAUCAGUUCCUUUUCAUAAGUCGAUGAUGGCAGUUUCCCGGAUUUGAUAGCUUUGCUGAUAAAUGCUAUUGGGCGACCUUCCAGCAUCAACACUACACCAAUGCCUGCUCCGUUUGCGUCCGUCUCUACAACAAAUGGAGUCUGAAAAUUGGGCAGCGCCAGAACUGGAGGGGAUAUCAUCAUUUGUUUCAGCAACUGAAAUGCGUCAUCUGCUUCUUUGUUCCAACCAAACUGUCCCUUUUCAGUAGAGAAGUAAGGGGUCGAGCAAUGCAACCGUAUUGCUUAAUGAAUCUAUGGUAAUACCCGGUUAAGCUUAGGAAUCCCUUCAGUUGUUUUGGUGAUUGUGGAACGGGCCAUGCACUCAUUGCUUCCAGUUUCUCCGGAUCUGUAGCUAUUCCAUUUUCAUCCAA